CUUGCUAAUCGUUCCUGGCUCCCAUUUUUUGUAUUUAUAUUUUUAUUCCAAAUUUGGACUAUUCUUUUAUGUUUUUUAUAUGAUGAAUAAAUUUCUACAUUAUUUUUUAAAUACAUUCUGUUAAUAGUGGUUUUUUACUUUCACUUGUAGUUUUUUGCCUAAUUCUCAAGUGAUUAUAACUAAUACAGUUAAUAUGGAGUUUUUUAUGUCUCCUUGUUAAAAUAUAAUACUGUUCUUUGCACUGUCUAGUUUCCCAACGGACUACUUAAAGCAAUAUACACACUAUUUUAAACAGUGUGUGAAUUUUACACAUAACAGGUAACCAGGUCUUAUAUGGUUAUUUUGUAUUCAGCAAUAACUUUGUAUUAAGCAGAUCAUUCGGUGUGUACCAAACAGAUUCUGCCUAUAGCAGAUUUAAAGGUAUACACACCAUACAUUCUGGCAUAGUUACCAUCCAGCAUUUUAAAUAUUUUAUCCUAUCACACCAACGAAGUCAUAUAUUAAGUGAAUUUGCUCCUGAACACAUCACCUUUGAAGGUAUCCCUGU